GCCAGGGUGGUCUAGUAGUUUGAGCGCUAGACUAGGACUCUGGAGACCAGGGUUCGAAUCCCAGCUCGGCCA